ACACCGGUUUCCUACCAGGCCUAUAACUGUUGGUAUAUAAAGGCCCAUUUUACGCCAGUUACCAUAUCGUUUCACAAGGAACAUACAAAUAAAAAACACAAUGAAAUACUUCGCAAUCGUUGCUUUGUUGGCGUGCGCCCUGAUGGCGAUGGUUGGUGUCUCAGCUCAGGUGCUCAGGGCUCCAGUAGCUGGCUCUCCAGUCCUGAGGAUGGUCCGCAGCCCCUACGGCUACCAGAAGGAACACCACCACCACCACCACCACAACCACGGCCAUGGUUACGGACACUACUAAAUAAGUUAUAAAAUAAUUGAUGGCGUGCAAUUUAGUUAUAAGGGAUGCUUGCUUUAUUAAAUAAUUUUUAAGUUUCA